rnacentral:rRNA from 1 species
GAGCGUUAUCCGGAUUUAUUGGGUUUAAAGGGUGCGUAGGCGGCCUUUUAAGUCAGCGGUGAAAGUCUGUGGCUCAACCAUAGAAUUGCCGUUGAAACUGGGGGGCUUGAGUAUGUUUGAGGCAGGCGGAAUGCGUGGUGUAGCGGUGAAAUGCUUAGAUAUCACGCAGAACCCCGAUUGCGAAGGCAGCCUGCCAAGCCAUGACUGACGCUGAUGCACGAAAGCGUGGGGAUCAAACAGGAUUAGAUACCCUGGUAGUCCACGCAGUAAACGAUGAUCACUAGCUGUUUGCGAUACAGUGUAAGCGGCACAGCGAAAGCGUUAAGUGAUCCACCUGGGGAGUACGCCGGCAACGGUGAAACUCAAAGGAAUUGACGGGGGCCCGCACAAGCGGAGGAACAUGUGGUUUAAUUCGAUGAUACGCGAGGAACCUUACCCGGGUUUGAACGCAUUCGGACCGAGGUGGAAACACCUUUUCUAGCAAUAGCCGUUUGCGAGGUGCUGCAUGGUUGUCGUCAGCUCGUGCCGUGAGGUGUCGGCUUAAGUGCCAUAACGAGCGCAACCCUUGCCACUAGUUACUAACAGGUAAAGCUGAGGACUCUGGUGGGACUGCCAGCGUAAGCUGCGAGGAAGGCGGGGAUGACGUCAAAUCAGCACGGCCCUUACAUCCGGGGCGACACACGUGUUACAAUGGCGUGGACAAAGGGAUGCCACCUGGCGACAGGGAGCGAAUCCCCAAACCACGUCUCAGUUCGGAUCGGAGUCUGCAACCCGACUCCGUGAAGCUGGAUUCGCUAGUAAUCGCGCAUCAGCCAUGGCGC